GACGAACGCUGGCGGCGUGCCUAACACAUGCAAGUCGAACGGACAGGCCCUGCUUUUGCUGGUCGGUCGAGUGGCGAACGGGUGAGUAACACGUGAGUAACCUGCCCUUGAAUUUGGGAUAACUUCUGGGAACUGGGGCUAAUACCGGAUAGGAGCUCCUGCUGCACGGGGGGGGUUGGAAAGUUUCGGCGGUAGGGGAUGUACUCGCGGCUUAUCAGCUUGUUGGUGGGGUAGUGGCAUACCAAGGCUUUGACGGAUAGCCGGCCUGAGAGGGUGAACAGGGACAAUGGGCCUGCGGGACGGAGCAGAAGGCUACGGGACGCAACAGUGGGGAGUAUUGCGCAGUGGGGCGGAGCCUGAGGCGAAGACGCCGGGUGCGUGAUGAUGGCUUUCGAGUUGUAAACAGCUUUCGCAUGAGCCGUGGACUGCGUGACGGUAAUUGGUAAGGAAGCCACGGCUAACUACGUG
rnacentral:rRNA from 1 species